rnacentral:rRNA from 1 species
UGGGGAAUAUUGGACAAUGGGCGAAAGCCUGAUCCAGCAAUGCCGCGUGAGUGAGGAAGGCCUUAGGGUUGUAAAGCUCUUUCGGCGGGGACGAUGAUGACGGUACCCGCAGAAGAAGCCCCGGCUAACUUCGUGCCAGCAGCCGCGGUAAUACGAAGGGGGCGAGCGUUGUUCGGAUUUACUGGGCGUAAAGGGCGCGCAGGCGGCUCUUCAAGUCAGGCGUGAAAGCCCCGGGCUCAACCUGGGAACUGCGUUUGGGACUGGAGGGCUAGAGAUCGGGAGAGGAGAGUGGAAUUCCCAGUGUAGAGGUGAAAUUCGUAGAUAUUGGGAAGAACACCGGUGGCGAAGGCGGCUCUCUGGACCGAUACUGACGCUGAGGCGCGAAAGCGUGGGGAGCAAACAGGAUUAGAUACCCCUGUAGUCC